rnacentral:rRNA from 1 species
GACGAACGCUGGCGGCGUGCCUAAUACAUGCAAGUAGGACGCAGUUGCGAACGGGUGAGUAACGCGUAGGUAACUACCUAGUAGAGGGGGAUAACUAUUGGAAACGAUAGCUAAUACCGCAUACUAGUAGAUGGACCUGCGUUGUAUUAGCUAGUAGGUAGGGUAAUGGCCUACCUAGGCAAUGAUACAUAGCCGACCUGGGAGGGUGUACGGCCAAACUGGGACUUGGGACCGGCCCAGACUCCUACGGGAGGGAGCAGUUGGGGAUCUUCGGACAUGGGGGGAAACCUGGCCGAGCAACGCCGCGUGAGUGAAGAAGGUUUUCGGAUCGUAAAGCUCUGUUGUUAAGGAAGCGGUACUUAACCAGAAAGGGACGGCUAACUACGUGCCAGCAGCCGCGGUAAUUC